UACAGAGGUGGCAAGCGUUGUUCGGAAUUACUGGGCGUAAAGGGCGCGUAGGCGGCCUUCUAAGUCAGACGUGAAAUCCCCAGGCUUAACUUGGGAACUGCGUCUGAUACUGGGAGGCUUGAAUGCGGGAGAGGGAUGUGGAAUUCCAGGUGUAGCGGUGAAAUGCGUAGAUAUCUGGAGGAACACCGGUGGCGAAGGCGGCAUCCUGGACCGACAUUGACGCUGAGGCGCGAAAGCUAGGGGAGCAAACGGG
rnacentral:rRNA from 1 species